CCGGACCACAGAAACUCCCUCUUUUCUCCAGACCUCUGUUUGGGUGGCUGCGCUCAGUGGGAGGCGCUCUGCUGCCUGCAGCUGCAUGUCUCUGCUGGUGUGUCGCUCUGCGUCUGCUCCGGAGGAAACAGCAGGAUGAAGGUCAUGAAGGUCAUCUGGAGGAUAAAGGAAGGCAAGUCCUGUCUGCUGAUGGAUGUGUGGCUCAGAAGGAGCUCAUCAGGAGAAGCUGAUAUCCAGAAGCGUCCUGAAUCUGAAACCAGAGCAGCGUGAUUACGUUUCCAUGCACAUCACACCGCUGAAGGUGCUCUUGCAUAAUCAAAUGGUUAAACAGUCACUAGAUGCAUUAUUAAUAUAAGCCUUUGGUUCUUCUUCCUGUGAGCCAGUUUGUGAAUAUUGUAAUAAUUACUUUGGGGAUUUGAGCGGAUGACAUUACCUUUAUUGAAAUGUUGAGAUUAUUUUCUGUUUUCCUAAAAAAAAACUUUGACUUCUUAUUUUUAUACUGUUUAUCAUUUAGAAUGUGAUUCUUCCUUCAUUGUGAUUUGUGACCUUUUGUUAACUGGCCUUUAUUGUCUAAAGGAUUAUUGCACUGGUUUAUUUUCAUUUAUAAAUCAAUAAUUAAUUUACUAUCAGAGCCUCUAGCUUCCUAUGUGUCACUUCAAAAGAAUACUUAGAGACGUUUAAUACGUUUAUUUUCCAUCAUUAUGUGUUGGAAAAGAGACAUUUUCACUUAAAAUAAACCAUAACAGAACCAGCA